rnacentral:lncRNA from 1 species
UCCUUUAAAUAUUUUUGAGUUAUGUUCUGGGGCACAUUUCAAGCUACUUAAAAACAGUUUGAUCUUUUCGAGUCUUGCAUUUAAACUUUGAUAGGCAGAAGCAGAGCAACCUUAGGGCCCACUUGGUCUCAUGAAGCAAUAGCUUUCUGAAUAUGAAACUCACUGCUCACUAUAUCAGAGAGUUUCCAUUCACGCUGUUGGGAAUGUAAACUUUCCAUUCCUCUGUUUGCACUAGUAAUUGCUCCUUUCAGGUGUCUCCUUCCUGGCUCAGGUAGUUCUCUCACAGGAGUGCUGAACUGACCAAUACUCUGCUGAAGACUCAGCCGAAGGCCCUGGGACUCUCCACUACUCUCUCUCAGUGCAGGUUUUUACCUCCCUGGUAACCUAACCUAUGAAUUCAAGCUGCCUCAACCUUCCUGAAUUCUGAACUCUGUUCUUACAACUCAGGAGACUUCCAGGCUUUGUUGGCUUCAAUUUUG